CCGGGAAAGGGAAUAACACUCGAAAUGUAUAUAAGAAAUACUCAAGUUAAUAAAAAAAAAAAAAGAUUCUACACUGUACCUUUACAGGUUGUUACAAAUGUUUUUAAGGGAUGGAUGGUACUGGGCUUUGUAUGUUUAGGUGGGCAAUUAUAGCUUACCAAUUGGGUCAAAGAUUAUUGUGUUCUGUGUUCUUUUACCUGAUGAUUUGAGUGUAACAAAGUGUGGGGCGGCAGGAGACACUGGGCCGCCGAGGAGUUGGGAUGUGUUUCCGCCAAGAUAUCUAGCAGAUAUCUUUGGGCACCUAGGUGCUGGACCUAGUAGGAUGAAGACAACCUUACUUUUUUAUUUUUUAUAUUUUUACAACAACAGAUGGCGAAUUAAUGUGAUGGGCAAGAAUCCACUAGUAAUCCUAAGAGUUGAGAGAAAGUUUUUAUUUUCUGAGUAAGAGGAGGCCAGCAUCAUGUUAAGUCAUGUGAUAUCUCAAGUUGGGGAAUUUAACAAAGAAACAGGGAAGUAGCCUAGGCUGGCAGGCUGUAGGUCCCAGGCUGUCCGAUAAAUAAUGGCCGCUCAGAGAGUUAGAGAUUAAGCUGCUUUUUAAAGAACGUUGUUUAGAAAGUCUUUCAGUACUCAUAUCCUUUUUAACGUGGGCUCCACGGGAAUUUUGGGUUGAAAUCCUAGUUAGACAAGCUACUUCUAAAUUAAAGGUAUUGUUAAAAGGUGAUUAAGUUUGUUUUUAGAAAGAAUUGAGUAAAGAGAUCACUUGAAUCAGGUGGGGAUUUUCAUCCACGGUUCAGAACUUAGGGAAAAAUUAGUCACUACCUCCAAGUAGAGAGUUGUGAUGAAUGUCUGUAAUACCAGGGAGAGUGAAUACAGACAUAGAAAUUAUUAAGGUUAAAGAAAAAAUCUGUGGCUCCGGGUAGAGAGCUUAACAGAUGGAUAUAUUUUGGGCUAAAGUCCAGAAUUUUAAGUUGCUUAUUGGUUUAAGAUUUGAUAGAAUGUGUUUAAGUUUGUUUUAAGGAGAGUAAAGAGAUUACCCGAAUCAUGUGGGGAUUUUCAUCUAUGGUUUGGAACUUAGGGAAAAAUUGGUCACUAACUCCAAGUAGAGAGUUGUGAUGUCUGUAACACCAGGGAGAGUGAAUGCAGACAUACAUAUAUUAUAGAAGUUAUUAAGGUUAAAUAAAAAUCUGUGGCUCCGGGUAGAGAGAUUAACAGAUGGAUAUAUUUUGGACUAAAGUCCUGGGUUGAUAUGUUGCUUAUUGAUAUUGGAAUUAAUAGAAGAUAUUUGGCUUGUUUUAUGAAUUACCCCGCUAAAGGCCAUAUGGCUCAUUGAUACCGGCUAGUGAGGGUUUGUGGUUAUUUUUUUAUAUCUACCACAACAAGAAGCUCAGAUUCUCUUAACAUGGGCUCCGCAGGAAUUUCGGGUUAAUUUCCUGAUAUCACAGAGUACAAAAGCCUAUCAGGCUCAUUGUUUAGCUUACUUCCUUUUUAAAAAAUUGUUUAAUCUUCAUAAUGGGUGUGACUUUGAGUUUUAUUGGUUAUAUUAUUACUCUGGAAGAGAGUUCAAGAUACAAGCUUUUCUGGUUACAGACUAAGGAACACUGUAUUUUGGGAGAAAGAUUUUGUUUUUGUGUUUUUAAAAAGUAUGAUUAGGCUCUGGAAACCUCACAGAGUCAUACUGAUCAGAUUUGAUAGAGGUAGACCACCUGAAAAAUUUAUUCAGGAGAAUCAAAAAGAUAUCUCUAUUCUAAACUUUUGUCUUGAGAGUUGUAUUUUACAGAGUGUGCCUACUUGGAUUCCUGGUCUCAACAAAUUUCAGCUGGGUCCAGUCAGGACACAUCAGCUACAGCAUUUGUUUCAUUCUUCCUCCCCCCUACCCCCAAGGAUAUCUCAACGCCCAUGUACAGCUUGGAAGUUAUAGAGGAGUUGUCGCCCCAGUUCCCUGGACUUUGUGGGGCUGAAAGUGGUUAUUCUAAAGUUGUUUUUAUGAGGAACUUAGAAAUGGUUGUAAUUUAACAGGGAGGAAUUAGCUAGAUUGAGUUAUACAGUCGUAAUCUCAUUUGUUAACUAAGCUAAAAUAAUAUCUUUGCUUUGAUAUAGAAUUUAUUUGUUAAAAGUUUAAAAGUACAAGGUUUAGAGCCAGUCCAUCUAUUGAUGUCAUUACAAACUUCUGAGUUGAUUACACAUGUGAGUUAAGGGCCAAAUAGCAAACAUAUUGCUGACUUUGUGAGAGUACUUUCAAGAUAUUAAGAUAUAAAGACAAUAGUACAGAUUGUCUUUAUAGAUAGAUGGUUUUCAAAAAUGUCAGAAAUCCAGAAAAUUUGAGAUUUAAAGUUAUUUAUCUUUUGUUGAGACAUAUCUGCUUCUACCAGUUACCCUUUGGUGGAUUUAACGAAGAAUGUGAACAUCUCUACCUCCAGGCGAGGUAAUACUUUGUGUCUAGGCAGCCACUGGACAAAACUGCCUGUUUCAUCUGCAGACUAAUACUGUCCAGAAAAGGACAAAUUAUGCAGAAUAGUUGACUAAUAAGCUCUGCCAAGACAGGGUGAUCAGCCCCUCAAAAUCUGCGUUUCAAGAGUCUGUCAGUUGAUUUUGGGCCAGAAGGCUGAAGACUUGCGCUCACAUGUUGCUAACAGGACUGUGCUAGUGGAGAUUUGUUUCUACAACCUCUCAGUUCUGGAAGCUGUGUUAGGCUUCCUAUGUGUAUAGAUAUUUGGUCAUUCUCAGAUUUCUGACGGGGUUGAAGACCUUUUACAGUCUCAUAGCCUAUCAGGCUAUUUAACUCUGAAAAUGCAUAUUUUAUUGGAUAGUUAUCAGACAGCAUACAAGCUAGCCAAGAUAUAAUAUAGAUUUUAAGCCUUUCUUAAGCUGGAAUGGAUAACUAAAUGUUCUGUUUAACUGAUAUAGUGAUGGACUAGGUGUUGAGUAUAUCAUAUGUUUUAUAAAUUGUAGAAUGGUAAUAAUUGUACUCAAUUUAUAUAUAAGUGAAAAGGCUUUUUUACUGGACAAAAAGGGGGAAAUGUGGUUUGCCCUGGAGUUAUCUGUAUUUUGAUGCUAAUUUCACUGCCCCAAGGACAGCUGCCUAGUCCUGUACUCAGGACUCAGGUGACUUCACCAGAAACUUCUCCCCAUUGAGUUUGUAAAAUACAGGUGAGGGACAGAUACAGGAUAGAAGGAGGCCUGUCAUUGGAGGAGAAGGAAGGAUGGGCGGGAGAAAAGUUUGAAGGAAGAGGAGGAGACUGGAAUGAAAAGAGGAGACAGGAGGAGAGGGAGAGAAGCUGUGGCAGGACAAUAUGGCAGGUGACGUUAAGAUUCUAUGCUGUGCCUUUACAGGUUGUUACAAAUGUUCUUAAGGGAUGGAUGGUACUGGGCUUUGUAUGUUUAGGUGGGCAAUUAUAUCUUACCAAUUGGGUCAAAAAAAAAAAAAGAAGAAGAACCUAUAGAGCAAUAGUAAUAAGAACUGUAUGGAAUUUGUAUAGCAUAAACCUAUACUCCUGUGGACACUUGAUUUUUGACAAAGAGAAAUACCAUACACAACAAAGACACCUAGGAAAUCCAAAGAAUCACUAGGUCUUACUUCAAAAAGCUGUAUUCCACAAAAUUGAAAAUCCAAAUGAAAUGAAUGGUUUUCUUGAUAGAUAUUACCAAAUUCAAUUCAAGAUUAGGUAAACAAUUUAAAUAGACUAACAAAAUAGAGACACUUAUUAAGAGUCUCACAACCCCAAAAGUCCAGGGCCAGAUGGCUUUAGAGAAGAAUUCUACAAUACUUUUAAAGAACGAAUACCAAUAUUCCCCAAACUAUUCCACAAAAUAGAAACAGAAGAAAUGUUUUUAAACUCAUUCUAUAAAGCCACAGUCACCUUGAUACUUUGUGCGGUAUCACAAAGACUCAGAAAGAAAGAUCAUUUUAGACCAAUUUCUCUUAUGAAUAUUGAUUAAGAAUCUUUAAAAUACUCACAAACUGAAUUAAAGAACACAUCAAAAUCAUCAUCCACCAUGAUCAAGUAGCUUUCAUCCAAGGAUUUAGGCAUGGUUCAACAUAGGAAAUAUCCAUUAAUGUAAUCCAACAUAUAAACAAACUGAAAGGGAAAAAAGCCAUAUGAUCAUCUCACUGGAUUCUGAAAAAGCUUUUGAAAAAAUUCAACACUCCUUCAUGAUAAAAGUCUUUGAGAGAUCAGGGAUACAAGACACAUGCCUAAGCACAAUAAAGGCCAAAUAUAGCAAGCCAAUAGCUAAAUCUAAUUAAAUGGAGAAAAAAAUAAAGCAAUUCCACUAAAAUCAGGGACAAGGCUGUCUGCGCUCUCCAUAUCUAUUCAAUAUAGUAUUUAAACUUUUAUAGUAAUAAGAUCACUAAAAGAGAUCAAGGGAAUAUAAACCAGAAAGGAAGAACUCAAAGAAUCGCUACUUGUAGAUGUUGUGGCCUGAAAAAUUCUAUUAGGGGACUCCUACAGUAAGAAAUACCUUCAACAAUGUGGCUGGAUUAACCAAAUUAACCAAAUUAACUGAGAAUAUCAGUAGCCCUCCUUUAUACAAAUGAUGAACAGGCUGAGAAAAACAUUUUUAAACACACCCUUUAUAAUAGCCAUAAAUAAUAUAAAAUAUCUUGCUGUAACUAACCAAGCAAAAGACCUUUAUGACAAGAACUUCAAGUCUUUGAAGAAAGAAACUGAAGAUAUCAGAAAAUAGGUCUUCCAUGCUCAUGUAUCAGUAGGAUCAUGUAUAAUGAUCAAAUUCAAUGCAGUUCCCAUCAAAAUUCCAACAUAAUUCUUUGCAGAUCUUGAAAGAACACUUUUCAACUUUACAUGGAAAACAAAAGCCCAGGAUACCUAGAACAGUCCUGUAAAUGGAAGAACUUCUGGAGGUGGCACAAUCCCUGGUCUCAAGCUGUAUUUCAGAGCAAUAGUAAAUAGUAAAAAUCCAUAUGGUGCUGGCAUAAAAACAAGAUAGGUUCAUCAAUUGGCUUGAAUCAAAGACCAAGAAGUAAACUCCCAUACCCCAUGACACUUGAUUUUUUUUUUUACAAAGAAGUCAAAACCAAAUAAUGGGGAGGAGAAAUAAAGUAUGUUCAACAAAUGGUGCUGUUCUAACUGGAUAUCUGUGUGUAAAGGAAAGCAAAUAGAUUCAUACAUAUUACCCUGCAUAAAACUCAAGUCCAAGUGGAUCAACAAGCUCAACAUAAACAGGUUACAAUAAAUCUGAUAGAAGAGAAAGUGGCUUUCCCACAGGAGACAACUUUCCAAACACAGCGCCAACAGCUCAGACACGAAGAACGAUAAAUAGGACCUCAUGAAACUGAAAAGUUUCCUGAGGCAAAGGACACUGUCCAAAUGACAAAAUAGCAGCCUAUAGAAUAAGAAAAAAAUCUUUACCAACCCUACAUAUGACAGGUGGCUGAUAUCCAAACUGUAUAAACUCGAGAAAUUAGAUAUCAACAAACUAAAUAAACCAAUUAAGAAAUGCGUAAGAGGUAAACAGAAUUCUCAACAGAGGAAUCUCUAGGGUUGAGAAGCACAAAAAUGUCCAACAUCCAUAGUCAUGAGGGAAAUGCAAAUAAAAAUAUGGGACUCAAAUCUUACAUUCAUCAGAAUGGCUAAGAUUAAAAACCUCAGGCACGGGACAGAACAUGCUGGCAAAGAUGUGGAGCAAAAGCAACACUUCUCCUUUGCUGGUGGUAGUGUACACUUGUACAACUAUUUUGUACAACCUCACAGAUUCUCAGAAAUGUGGGAAUAGUUCUACCUCAAGACCCAGCUAUACCACUCAUGGGUAUAUGCCCAAAAGAUGACUCACUAGACCACAAGAACACUUGCUUAACUACGUUCAUAGCAGAUUUAUUGUUCAUACUCAGAAACUGGAAAUUAGAUGUUCCUGAGCUGAAGAAUGGAUAAGGAAAAUGUGAAACAUCUACACAGUGGAAUUCUUCUCAGCUUCUGAAAACAAGAAUAUCAUGAAAUUUGAGGCAAAUCCGAUGGAACUAGAAAAGAUGAUCCUGAGUGAGGUAACCCAUGCCCAGAAAGACACUUAUAAGUGGGUAUUAGUCAUAAAGGACAUGAUAACCCUGCUACAAUUCACCGACCCAAAACGCUAAGUGAAAAGGAAGGCCCAAGUAGGCCUUGAAUCACACUGAGUAAGGGGAAUAGAAUAGACAUCAGGGGUGGAAGAGGGAGGGAAGUGGGGAUGGGAACAGGAGUGAUGUAGUGGGGUGAGAAGGGAGAGAAUGCUGGGAGAGAGAGCUAGAGUCAUUUGAGAGGCAUCGAGGACAAGCUAGAAGCCUAGGAAAAUUGAAACUCCCAGGAAUCAAUGAGUAUGACUAGCAAGAGUCCUAGAAAUGGGUGACAUGGAACUUAAAAUGGCCAACUCAGUGGAGGGAAUGAGACACCAACACAGCCAUAAAACCUUUGAACUACCAUUUGUCCUGCCUACAAGAGUUACAGGGGAAAGAUGGGGCAGAAAUUGACUAGGCAAAGACUGGCCCAUCUUGAGACUCACAUAAGAGCCAGUCACCCCUGACACAAUAUUUGCUGUACUUGAAGACAGGUGCCUAGUAAAAUUGGAGUCUGAGAAGACUGACCCAGCACCUGAUAAAGAACACUUGCAGAGACCCAGCCAAACAUUAGACAGAACUUCGUGAAUCCUGUCAAAGGUGAAGAGGCAGGAUUGAAAGUACCACAGAGGAAAGGGAACCUCAACUGACAGAUUGUCUCUUUAAGUUCAGUCUGUAGGGAAACCUAUAGGGCACCGUUUUUUUUUUUAAAUUGGAUUUUUUUUAAAUUUACAUUUCAAAUGUUAUCCCAUCCAUAAACCCCCUGUCUCCUCUCCCUCCCCCUUCUAUGAGGGUUUUCCCCAUCUCCAAUCACCCAUCCUUUUCUGCCUCCCUGCCCUGACAUUCCCCACUGGAAGUCCAACCUUGGCAGGACCAAGGGCUUCUCCUCCCAUUGGCGAUAGGGCACCUUCUUAAUUAGUGAUUGGUGGAGUAUGGCCCAGUCCAUUGUGGGAGUUGCAAUUCCUGCCCUGGUGGCCCAGGGUUCUUUUAGAAAGCAGGCGGAAGAAACCAUGAGGACCAAACCAGUAAGCAGCUCCCCUUCAUGCCCUUCCCAUCAGAAUCUAACUCCAGAUUCAUAACCGUUCUGAAUUCCUGCCUUGGAUUCCCUCAAUAGACUAUAUGACUCAGAAUAAGAAAUGGAAAAUCAAAAAUGAAAGCAAAACCAAAAACCAACCCCUUCCUCAUCAAUUUGCUUUUCUCCAUGUUUUAUCACAGAAGCAGUAGUGACUCUAACUAGGACUGCAGGCUUAAGACAAGGCCACUAACUGAGGACUGAGAGAGAAACUUUGAGAGAUGAGAAAACUUUUGACCUGGAUGGUCCCUACUCACAACAUACCCUUCAUGAAAAUGAAAGGGAUGACAGCGGCUGGAUUCAUUGCAGUUCUACGGUUUUUUAAGAUGAAUUAUUUUAUGUAUAUGAAUACAUUGCCAUGAUCUUCAGACACACCAGAAGAGGGCACUGGAUCCCAUUACAGAUGUUUGUGAGCCACCAUGUGGUUGCCUGGAAUUGAAUGCAGGAUCUCUCGAUGAGCCAUCAGUGCUUUUUAACUACUGAACCAUAUCUCCACACAAUGUUUUAUGUUUUAUUAAGCAAUAUUAUAAGGGAUAUGUACAUAUUUCA